AGCUGCCAGGGUCAUAGAAUGAGGCUGCGAGGCAGGCAGAAAACAGACGGCUAUAAUUAAUUUGUCAGGAACUGUGUUUGGAGCUUAAAAGGCCUUGUGUUAUAGUGCUAGUCACAUUUAGCUUCAUCUUGGCUCCUCUAAACAUAGCAGAAACUUUAAAGGUGGACCUAGAAAUCAUCUGGAAGCCACUGGCAGAGCUUGUCUUCCAAGGGCAUCUUGAGACAUCAGACUUUUGUUCUUACUCUUUGCUCUCCUGCCACAUGAUGCUCUACCAUAACCAUCCAACCUGAUGGUUGACCUCAGUAGAAGUCCAGAAGCAGUGGUGCCAAUGAGCCAAGCACUGCAGUGUGUGCCACUGUGUGCUAAAAUAAAUUUUUACCCCUUUUAA
rnacentral:lncRNA from 1 species